rnacentral:tRNA from 1 species
GCGCGGGUGGCGGAAUGGUAGACGCGUUAGCUUGAGGUGCUAGUCCUGGAAACGGGGUGGGGGUUCAAGUCCCCCUCCGCGCACAA